GGGCUAUUAGCUCAGGUGGUUAGAGCGCGCCCCUGAUAAGGGUGAGGUCCCUGGUUCGAGUCCAGGAUGGCCC
rnacentral:tRNA from 1 species